GCUCAGGAUGAACGCUGGCGGCGUGCCUAAUACAUGCAAGUCGAGCGAACGGACGAGAAGCUUGCUUCUCUGAUGUUAGCGGCGGACGGGUGAGUAACACGUGGAUAACCUACCUAUAAGACUGGGAUAACUUCGGGAAACCGGAGCUAAUACCGGAUAAUAUUUUGAACCGCAUGGUUCAAAAGUGAAAGACGGUCUUGCUGUCACUUAUAGAUGGAUCCGCGCUGCAUUAGCUAGUUGGUAAGGUAACGGCUUACCAAGGCAACGAUGCAUAGCCGACCUGAGAGGGUGAUCGGCCACACUGGAACUGAGACACGGUCCAGACUCCUACGGGAGGCAGCAGUAGGGAAUCUUCCGCAAUGGGCGAAAGCCUGACGGAGCAACGCCGCGUGAGUGAUGAAGGUCUUCGGAUCGUAAAACUCUGUUAUUAGGGAAGAACAUAUGUGUAAGUAACUGUGCACAUCUUGACGGUACCUAAUCAGAAAGCCACGGCUAACUACGUGCCAGCAGCCGCGGUAAUACGUAGGUGGCAAGCGUUAUCCGGAAUUAUUGGGCGUAAAGCGCGCGUAGGCGGUUUUUUAAGUCUGAUGUGAAAGCCCACGGCUCAACCGUGGAGGGUCAUUGGAAACUGGAAAACUUGAGUGCAGAAGAGGAAAGUGGAAUUCCAUGUGUAGCGGUGAAAUGCGCAGAGAUAUGGAGGAACACCAGUGGCGAAGGCGACUUUCUGGUCUGUAACUGACGCUGAUGUGCGAAAGCGUGGGGAUCAAACAGGAUUAGAUACCCUGGUAGUCCACGCCGUAAACGAUGAGUGCUAAGUGUUAGGGGGUUUCCGCCCCUUAGUGCUGCAGCUAACGCAUUAAGCACUCCGCCUGGGGAGUACGACCGCAAGGUUGAAACUCAAAGGAAUUGACGGGGACCCGCACAAGCGGUGGAGCAUGUGGUUUAAUUCGAAGCAACGCGAAGAACCUUACCAAAUCUUGACAUCCUUUGACAACUCUAGAGAUAGAGCCUUCCCCUUCGGGGGACAAAGUGACAGGUGGUGCAUGGUUGUCGUCAGCUCGUGUCGUGAGAUGUUGGGUUAAGUCCCGCAACGAGCGCAACCCUUAAGCUUAGUUGCCAUCAUUAAGUUGGGCACUCUAAGUUGACUGCCGGUGACAAACCGGAGGAAGGUGGGGAUGACGUCAAAUCAUCAUGCCCCUUAUGAUUUGGGCUACACACGUGCUACAAUGGACAAUACAAAGGGCAGCGAAACCGCGAGGUCAAGCAAAUCCCAUAAAGUUGUUCUCAGUUCGGAUUGUAGUCUGCAACUCGACUACAUGAAGCUGGAAUCGCUAGUAAUCGUAGAUCAGCAUGCUACGGUGAAUACGUUCCCGGGUCUUGUACACACCGCCCGUCACACCACGAGAGUUUGUAACACCCGAAGCCGGUGGAGUAACCUUUUAGGAGCUAGCCGUCGAAGGUGGGACAAAUGAUUGGGGUGAAGUCGUAACNNNNNGUAGCCGUAGCC
rnacentral:rRNA from 1 species